GGCCGAGUCGCCCAUCCUGAAGGUGGAGCUGCAGAGCGUACGGAGGAGGCGCCGCGGCGCUGUCGGCAUCGCCCCUGAGGAGAACUCUGCCCGCUGCGCCUUGUCCCUGACCUUGCUCGCCUUGUCCCUGACCUUGCUCCCCGAGCUGUGAAGGUCUGUGCGAGUUUCUGGUUGUUGAUACAUGCAGCGCUCCCCUAUGUUAUGUUUAGCCAAUGUACUGUGUCAUGCAGGUCUCGCAGAGUACUUUUUGUGUGAAGAUGCUCUAAGUAGCAUACGUCUCCGGAGAUCAGUGUCUGCACGUAUGUUUGCAAUAAAAAUAUAGAAACAAAAAGCAAACAGAGUAUAAGUACUUGUGGAAAAUAUCCACCAUAUCUUUGGGGGUAAUACGAUGCAUGCUGAACGUGUAACACCACCAGGUUUCUAACGUAGAAGACUUGUAGAAGCUAGAACAAUGGUGGUUUGGUCUUCAACCAGUUGAAGCUCGUUCUAUGCACAUAGUCAUGGUCAAUAGACAGAAGGAAAAUUUGUACAAAACCCUGCAAAGGCGGUUUGUGAACUAGGCAGAGGUCUUGCACUGAGAAUUUCAGAGUAUAGGAACAGACAAUGCACAAAUAAGAAGCAGCAAAGAAGUUACAGAAAGGACAUGAUAGUAAUUCAAUGCAAAAUUCAUCUGGAGGGUUUUGAAAGAGUUGGACUCCUUGCUGAAUAGGAGAGAAGAUGAUAAAACAACAGACUAAUGCCUGGUCUGUGAGAAGAAGGCCAGAUAAUUCUCUCAAAAAAUGGCCUAUGACAAAGGAACGCAGUUCCAUUCAGCCCAUAAUCAAGCUGGAUUUUACAUGGAUAUGAUACUCUCAAGACAUAGAACUUAAUUCAUAUUUAUAAAGGAGCUGGAUAUUUAUGGCAAUAUUGAGAAUUCCCAGGUGCUCCUAAAAGAAUCUAGAGAAGCAGGAAAUUAAUGUUUGGGGAGUCUGGCUUUCUUUAAAAUUAAAAAUUCAGAUGGGAACCUGAGAGCCAAGCUGUCCUAUCUCUGUUUUCAGAUUCACUGUUCCUAUGUGAAAGGUGAACAGCAUCCUCUUUGAGCACAAGUAGUCCCAAGAUUGCAGUCCAUUUUUCAAGUUUUGUUAAAUUUGAUACAGUUAGAAUCAUUGAGAUCAGGACUGGAGAGGACCUUAGGUGACCUCCAGAAAAACCUGCAAGAGCCUGAAGAAAAUCCAUUAAAUAAAGAAUGGGUGAAUAGAGAGAUGCAUAUGAUAAAUAACUGUGAUAUUUUAACAGUACAAGUUAGUAAGAAUCAGAAAUGCUUGAUAACAAAGUGUGAAUUUCAUUUAAAACACGUUCGCCUCCUUAGCUCUUCUCUCAUUUACAGUCACGCUGACAUUUUCCAGCUCUUUCUUACUUUGUAAGAAGCCACUAAAGAUGAUGAUGUCCACUGGUUUUAUACUGACCAUUUCUUCUGUUUCACCAUAUAUAUCUAUACUCACUCCACUGUCUGCCAAGAAUGUGUUUCUAAAAAAACACACCGGUUAAUGUCACGAUGGAUGGCAAUGCAAUUUUCCUGUAAGAGUUAAUGGAUCUGCCUGUGAGCCUGAAUGCCCAGGCUGAAUCUUUUACCGAGAGCAUCCUUGCUGCCUCUUUGUGAACAGUUACAUUUUCAUUGCCAUCUCCCUUGCAUGAAUCGAGGUCAGUCAGAGGUGAAGGGCAGAAAAACAGACUAAUGUUUGGCUGUUCAGCCUUGCAGAUGAAGUGGCUGAGAUCUUCCAGAGCCCUGAUGUGCUCUCAAAUGCCAGCUGCUGAAAAGCUGGCGUUGUCCGCACUCAAAUGAUCCCAGUGAUCCUCCAUGCUAUACAUGCUGUCCCUGGGUAUAGAUAUUGUGUGUAUCAUCUCUUAAAUCGCAGGUGUCCCUGCCGGUACGUUAAUUCUUACGGGAGAAAUUGCUUUGUCACCCAUUGCAUUCAGCUGCUUCAUUUGCGAGGCUGAUAACAGCAGAGCAGGGCACUGAAAGAUUGGCGGUGGGACUCCAAAACAGUGGUUAGAGCAGCGACAGAUCGCAGGGCUGUUGAUGCAUUUCAAUUACAGCUAUUACAGGCAGGAAACGGUCUUUCAUUCUGUGUUUGUAUGGCACUUCACACACUGUGUUCCUGCUUCCUAACUGGAUCCAAAGUAUUAAACAGUAAUAAGCCAUCGUGCCACUUAACAAAUAAAAACUGCUGAUUUUCAGAAGUGCUUAGUGCUUCUUGGCUCGAUGGAAACAGAAUUCUUUUUAAAUUAGAUAAAUCCCGCUUACAUUUCAGGGAAGUGUGGACUAUCCCUUUUGUUCCACAGGUUGAGGUCUGGGUGGGAGAGGCUGAAAAACAUUCUAACUUUUAAAAGUUUUCUUGAUACGAAUUUGCCUGUCCAAGCAAGCAGCAGAACAUGAUUAUCUUUUUAUUUAUAGUGUACUACGCUUCACACUUAAACAUAGACUUUAUAUAUACCAACACAUAGAUCAAAUUAAGAAGUAUGUCAGAAAAAAAGCCUAGAUUAAGGCACCUACACAGUGCUCGCAUUCCCAUAUAACAAUCACAGUAUUCCCAGCACAGCAAUUUUAUGGCAUAUACUAAAAAAUCUUCAGGAAACUGGCAUGAAGAAGGAAAAAAGAGAGGCACGAGGGGGAGAGAGCAGGAAGAAAAGAGAUGUGGGCUUACGUGUGUCCUUUCAGCCACUGCUCUACACAGAUUCCUAGUCAUCCAGUCCUAAGAACUUGCUCGAAACGUACACAGUUUUUUCCAGGACCUGACAUUUACUGUGCAUAAUUCUUGCCUUCUGAGUUAAAUUUGCUAGUCUUUGUGGUUUAGGAUAGAUGCGUUUUUCCCAUGUAGCAAAAUUUGCUGUGUCUUGAAACCCGUGAAGCCCUAUGUAACCAUCUCCGUGGUAAUGCACUGAUUAUGAAGGCAGGUUUGUGCUGCAGUGUGCAUCUCCUGGGAAAGCAAUCUUUUUUUUUUAUCUGAAAACAUGCAGUGAAAGAAGAUCCUCCACAGGCUUUAGUGGAUUAUUCAGGGCUUGAUUACUGUUAAAAAUACGCACCUUAUUUUUAGGUUAGCUUCAGCUCCCACCCAUUAAAUCUUAGCUUAUCUUUCCUAGAAUGAAGAGGUUUCUUUUAUGUAGUUUUUGUUAUCCAGACUUACUGCUCUAGACUGUGGCCAUCCCUCAGGAUGAGAUAAAUGGGACUCUGGGAGUUCAUCACAGUCAAGUAUGUUUUCUAAUUCUCUGAGUAUUGUCAUUGCACUUCUCUGUACCUUCUCCAGGUUUUCAAAUGAUGUGUUUCCUGAUUUUUUUUUCACUUUGAUGAAGAUGUGAAUUAUGAAUACAGCAUUCUGGUACUGGUCAGACCAAAGCAAGUGCCAAUGUAAUGUGGUUUCAUGAUUCCUGCUUGGGUUUGCAUUCGUCUAUCCAAGGGCAGUAUUAGACCUUCCAGCCUCAGAGGUACACUGCUGUGAUUCCCAAGGGCUCUUCUUGAAUUUAUUACCAAUGUACAGAAAUAUAUAGAUGAUUAUGGCAAUAUAAAGACAAUCGUGUUCUAUGCCUAGUCCUUAGCACCAUUUAAAUUACUAGUAGAGACUCAUUCCAAUCCCCUGUCUUUGUCACUACCACUCCUGCAGUUUUGGGGUCAGCUGCUAGCAGUUGGAAAUCAUUUCCCAUAUUCCCCUCCAUAAUUGAUAAAAAUGUCAAAUAAUGGAGCUUAGGACUGAUGCCCACAUGACAUCACUGUAAACACACAGACCUUAUGAUGAUUGCCUCAUUGCAAUCACAUUUUGUGACUGGUCAGGUAACGAGAUCGCUGAAAAAGCACGUAUUUUCAUCAGAACAAACCCGCUGGUUCCCCAAUUUUAGGAAAAAGAGAUGAACUGGUUCUGAGGGUUUUCAAUCAAGGGAGCUGGAGACUUUAAGUGCCACAAUUCUUUCUGGAAACAAAAGACCUGAAUUUCUGUAUCGACAGCUGUAUCUGUUACCCCAGAAGGACGGCGAGGAUGAUAAUACAGUAAAGUAAUCUACAUGAGACAGUUUCUAGAGGCGGGAAGAUUAAUCAGUCAUUCAUCUGCCUUCCAUUUGGGAUCUAGAUGAGCAUUUAGAUACAGAUUAAGCUACAUAAAUUAUACUAAAAAUGGAACUGACGUAGAAGAGCCAUCAGCACUGUACCUCAGAAUAAUGCCGUGAUUUGGGACUUACAGAGGGAUGUCAAAAACAAUGGGCAAUUUAACAGAGUCUACCGUACGUGCCAGGGAGAACGUGAAAAUGGAGGAUACAAGCAGCCUCUUCACACAGGUUCUUCUUUAUUCUUCCAUUGCACUGUAGCAAUUACGAAAAAAAAAGUGCUAAGCAAGCUAUCUGCAAGUUUUCUUACUGGCAGGUAUAACCCUUGGUUCUCUCCUUCCUUCACUGCAGCUUCAAGGUGCAUCUUUAUAACCAGUCCCCGCGUGCUCACACAAGCCAAGGUGAUGCAGACACCCGCGUUUUGGUGUCUGCCCGUCUGUGAAUCAGGUUUUGAGCUCUCAGGACAGUUGCUGAAGAGCUGGUCAGUGCAGGGCUUGGUUUCGCUGCCUGCACAUAAGCGUGUAGCACCCUUCGUGAUGCCCUGGGGCACAUCACCUGCACUUUAGGUGCUCCUCCGGGUUGGCAGUGGUCUCACAAACGUCUUGUGUCUUGUCUGCAUGCUCCACACAGACGUCCCUGAUGCUGUAGAGCAUUUCAAAAGGCUUUCAGCACCCAUGUGGGAGCGGCUGAAAAAACUCCUACCAUUAACAGUGUGAGGAGAGCAAUUCAGCUGAGAAAUGGUGGCUGGUUUAGGAGUUCAUUCACUCCAGUUUCCAGUGACCCAAACAGAAAACCCUUGCCUGUCUUCACUGUCUUCAGAGUUCAGGUGCCCUGUGCAUAUGCAGACACCUAAAACACCUCCGAAUCUUGAGCCAAACCCUACCCAGACACAAAAAGUCAAAGGCCUUAGUUGUCAAAACAGCUUUGUGCAGGGUUGUCUGUCACCGCUGAGUUUAUGUCCUGCAGAGAUGCAAACACCUGCUAGAACUGAAUUAACACUUUGCAGCCAGGUAGCUGGUAGCCCAAGAGUUAGCAAAUCUUCAAUGGCGUGGCUUCUCACACCUCCAUAAAUUUCCUGGGCUUAAGAGAAGUUACCAGCAGCUGAGGCUCAGCCCUGGGGGUUUUAAAUCAAGAUUUCCCACUGUGGUACAAAAUAUUCUGUAGGUCAGGUUCCAGUUUAUGAGAGGGCAAAUUCCUGGGCACAUUGAGUGGCCAGUGCUGCACACAUCAGGUUAGAUUGUCAUUAGCAUCACUCCCUGCCUAAAAUCUGAAAUUUUAACAGAUUUCACUCCUUGGAAGCCAUCGUGAGACAGCCCUUCUCUUGGUAAAACUGUGACUUUGGUAAUAAAUUUCUCAAUAAAUAUUUUCUGUACAGUUCGCUUUGGGAUUUCUGUGGUUUUAUCUCCCUGAAGUCUCAUUUUGCAGGAUGGAUUUUUUGAAUAGAAGUAAAUCACUGCAGGUGAGGACAGAGAAAAAUAGUUUUAGGUGGGACUGGUAUCACCUAACUUUAGCUGUUUAGAAGUACAGCAACCCAUCCAACCUGGGCAUCUAGGUAUUUUCUGCAGCAAACAAAGGAAGAGUAGUAUCUUCAGAACAUAAUUCAUCCUGUCUUAAAAUAGGAGAGUGGAGCAGAUAGGAUGGUCUGUUCUCCAGAGAGGUUUAUUUCAUUCAACUCACGUAAGUGCCCUAGUGAAUAGUUAGAGUAGAUAGCUUGAUUUUUUGAUAACUGAAAUUAGGCAGAAAUUGUUUCCUUUCUUUACCUAGGAAAAACUGCAGAAUUUUAAAGUAAAUUUCAACCCCAUAGAAAUGUUACUCAUACUGCACACUGAAUAGCCAUUCCAAAAUAAAUUGACUUUUUAGCACAAUAUCCUUCACAUUCCCCAUCAUAAGUAGUAUUUUACAUUCCCUGCUCCAGAUUUUCCUUACUGAUCCCAUAGUCCUCAAGAUUUAUUCCCUCCCUUACUAAGACCUUUUUUCUUCCUGAACUCCAAAUUCAUAUUUGCUAAAAUAUUUGUCUUUUUUAAGUUCUUCCAAGUCAUUGAAAGUCUUAAGUCUGUUCCCAUAAAUCCAUACAAGUGGCUAAAUUAUAUUAAGGACUUUUAUUUAUUUAAACUAUCCAUAGUGAAGAAAUAAGCAGUGAUAACAUGUAAACUGUUCCUGUACUUUGGGGUAACAUUUCACUAAGGCAACUGCACAGCCCACUGCUCUGCUGGAGGUACUGAUGUGAUCUAGCUUGCAAAUACAAAGAAAUGGUGUAUAACUGGAUUUCCUUUAUAAUCUCCCACAAUAAAUUCUGCAGAUAACACAGAAUAUCUUCAAAAUCCAUAAAAACAUCACUUCUGUAAAUAAAGCAAGGGUAUUUUUUCCUAGCAGGCUGACUUGUAAUAGAUUAGAUAGUGGAAAAAGUAUUACAUGUCACCUAAUGUGUAUUUUUGGCAGUCUGUUUUACUUAUAUGCAUAGGUAUACACUUGGUCAAAAUAUUGUGGCUUUCUUUGUGAUUCUGUUUUCAUCUGAUGGCAAAACCUCACAAUUAAAAAAAAAAAAAGCUAAUGGAAUCAAUUAAGUUUUUUGGUGGAAAAUUGUGCAACAUAAACAUGCUGCACCAGUGGUUUUAAAUGCAUUGCACAGUGUCUAGUAGAUUCCUUGGCUUUGUCAAUCGGCGCUGGUUUGUAUGCAGUGGCACUAAUGACUUUAUAAAAACAAAUGACAGAGUUGUUUACGCUGCCCUACUAAAGGAAAUAAUCAUAUUUAAUAGUGCUGGUUUCCCAUACAGGGCUAAAAAAACAACUCUUGUGCUAUAUGCUGUAAUAAGCUUUUUAUAAAUGUGCUCAGCAGAGCCUGCUGUGCCAAUACUAUAAAACUGAAAGGGAGCUUCAUAAGCUUUAAGUGCUAUCGUAUAUUAUCGUACAGCAACAUUCCCUGUUAUUAAUAAAGUUUGUAAGAAAUGCACAGGCAGAAGAUUAAAAAUACAUGUAUGAUACUAUCCACGGUAAUAAAAGUUGAUGUUGUUUGGACUGCUUGCUUAUUUACUUGCCCUAUAUGAGAUGUUUUAAGGAGUGCGGUGAAUAUGACUGAGCAGAUGAGCUUUCCCUCAAGGCCCUGCUUCUCCCUGCCCAGCAUCUUCCCAGGGAUGCUGGUCCAGGGAUGCUGGUCCAGGGAUGCAGGCUGGUCCAGGGAUGGAAGCUGCUUCCCUGAGCCCUCUUGUGGGCUCCUUCCUCCACUGCAGCAGGCAGUUCCUACAAACGAGGCAAUUGGUGUGCUCCGAGAAGAUGAUCUUUAUGAAACGUGAGCUGUUUCCUCAUCUCCGUGCAUAACAAAAGCGCGUGAAAAUAAAAUAAAACUGGUAUUUCAUUAAAGGUGAUGAGAAAUUUUUAGGGCUUUGACCACAGAUAUCUUAUUUUUGCUCUGGCAUCCAGCAAUAACAGUGAUUAUUGAAUUGCAACACAAAGCUCUUCUGGGAAUAGAUAUGCAGCACAGCCUGUCAUUGCUUGGCAAAAUGCACUCAGGUGCUGAUGUAAAUGGAAAGGUUGUAUAUUUGAGAUAGUUUCAUUGGAGAAAUCAUAAUAAAAUGGAUUAAGAGACACCUGAAAUGCUUCUCGGUUUUAAACAAAAAUAUCAGGACAUUUCCUGACAGCAUCUGGAUUCUUGAGGGAAAUUAAAUGCCAGGUAAUAUUCUGUUUGGAAGAAAAUAAAUUAACAGCAUAUGUAAAAUAUAUCUGACUUUCUAUUAAGUUAUUUUCUUUAUCAUC